UACGGAGGGUGCGAGCGUUGUCCGGAUUUAUUGGGUUUAAAGGGUGCGUAGGUGGGUUAAUAAGUCAGUGGUGAAAUACGGUUGCUCGACAAUCGAGGUGCCAUUGAUACUGUUAAUCUUGAAACAAGUGGAGGUUGCCGGAAUGGAUGGUGUAGCGGUGAAAAUGCAUAGAUAUCAUCCAGAACACCGAUUGCGAAGGCAGGUGACUACGUUUUAUUUGACACUGAGGCACGAAAGCAUGGGGGGAGCAAAACAGG
rnacentral:rRNA from 1 species